AGUGAACGCUGGCGGUAGGCCUAACACAUGCAAGUCGAACGGCAGCACAGUAAGAGCUUGCUCUUACGGGUGGCGCGUGGCGGACGGGUGAGGAAUACAUCGGAAUCUACUUUUUCGUGGGGGAUAACGUAGGGAAACUUACGCUAAUACCGCAUACGACCUACGGGUGAAAGCAUGGGAUCUUCGGACCUUGCGCGAUUGAAUGAGCCGAUGUCGGAUUAGCUAGUUGGCGGGGUAAAGGCCCACCAAGGCGACGAUCCGUAGCUGGUCUGAGAGGAUGAUCAGCCACACUGGAACUGAGACACGGUCCAGACUCCUACGGGAGGCAGCAGUGGGGAAUAUUGGACAAUGGGCGCAAGCCUGAUCCAGCCAUACCGCGUGGGUGAAGAAGGCCUUCGGGUUGUAAAGCCCUUUUGUUGGGAAAGAAAAGCAGCAGGUUAAUACCCCGCUGUUCUGACGGUACCCAAAGAAUAAGCACCGGCUAACUUCGUG
rnacentral:rRNA from 1 species